rnacentral:rRNA from 1 species
AUGCUGCAGGCGGUGGUCUCCAACCCGCAACCCGUCGCCGCGUCCCUGGGGCUGGGGACUCCUUGCCACCCUGGGCGAGGCUCGGUGAGGGUCCGCUCCACUAGGAACGGAUCCGCCGAUAACCUUGACCACCUGCGUAGGCCCCCGACGGCAACUGCUAGGCAGCCGCGGCAGGGGAAUGGGAAUCCUGCUCCGAGGAGGAGGGUCAUCCAAACCUCGCCAUUUGGGCUAUGGGACAGCUUCCCGGACGCGCGAACCCUGGACCAGAUGAUGCGCACCAUGGAGCGCAUCAUGGACGAGGCCGACGACGACGACGGCCGUCGCCCCUUCGUGGUGCCUGGCGCGACGGUGCCGCCCACGGCGGCACGGCGCGCGGACGACCGACGCGGGCGGACGCCGUGGGAGAUCAAGGAGCGCGCGGGGGACUACCUGGUGCGGUUCGACAUGCCGGGCAUGACGAGGGAGGACGUGCGCGUGAGUGUGCAGGACCGGACGCUGGUGGUGGUCGCCGAGAAGGCGGCGAAGCAAAGGGAGGCGGUCGGAGAGAAGGAUAAGGAUAACGAGGAGGAUGGGGAGGAGGAGGAGGCGUGGCCGGCGGCGAGCUACGGGCGGUACAGGACGCGGGUGGAGCUGCCGGAGAACGUGGAGGUGGAGAGGAUCGCCGCGGUGGUGAGGGACGGCGUGCUCUACCUCAGCAUCCCCAAGGUGUCGCCGUCCGGGGGCAAAGUCGUGAGCAUCCAGGUGCAGUGA